UGACGUGGGGACGCCAAGCCGCGGGCAGUUGCCGCCAACAUUCAGCCAUGGGGAGAAGUGCGCUGUCUUUGGUCUCCCCCGGGCCUUUGUUCUGCAGUUUGUUCUCGCAGUACAGGAGAAAAGUGCAGAUAAAUCAUUCAUUUGUGAUUCCAAGAGAACACAAGAAUCCGUGAAAUGAAGAAGGACUGAGAAAAAUGUUUGCUGAGUACUCGUGGUGAUGUCCUGAGCUCACCACCACCGCCGUCGCCGCCGCCGCCGCCGCCGCCGCCGCCGCCGCCGCCGCCGCCGCCACCACCGCCGCCACCACCACCACCACCACCACCACCACCACCACCACCACCACCACCGCCGCCGCCACCACCACCACCAUGGAGGCAGGUCUGCUCAUCACCACUUAAGGAAGAAGCUGAUGUUUGCUGAGUGCUCGUGGUGAUGUCCUGAGCUCACCACCACCACCACCACCGCCGCCGACACCGCCGCCGCCGCCACCACCACCACCACCACCAUGGAGGCAGGUCUGCUCAUCACCACUUAAGGAAGAAGCUGGUGAGAGAUACGAUAUACUCUGGGCUUGUGGUGAGUGAUAGAGCGAGGAAGCUUUUCAUCUUAUCUUUUUCUUUUUCUUCUUUUUUUUUACUGUCUUCACCCAGGAAAACAUGCAGGAUAUGCCAGAUAGUGAACAGGUGUUUAGAGCAGAUGAGAAUGAGAAGCUGACAGAUAUUUCCAUAACUAGGGAGAUAGUGGAACAGGAGAUAGAUAGGCUAAAAAAGUUCCAGACACCAGGACCUGAUGAAAUAUAUCCCAGAGUACUCAAGGAAUGCAAAGAGAUUAUUAGUGAGCCGUUAGUUUCUGUCUUUAGGAAGUCA